rnacentral:rRNA from 1 species
GACGAACGCUGGCGGCGUGCUUAACACAUGCAAGUCGAACGGAGUGGCGAACGGGUGAGUAACACGUGGGUGACCUGCCCUGCACUUCGGGAUAAGCCUGGGAACCUGGGUCUAAUACCGGCUAGUUUUGGAUGGGCCCGCGGCCUAUCAGCUUGUUGGUGGGGUAAUGUCCUACCAAGGCGGCGACGGGUAGCCGGCCUGGGAGGGUGGACGGCCACAGUGGGACUGAGGCACGGCGCAGACGGCAACAGGGGGCAGCAGUGGGGAAUAUUACGCAGUGAGCGGAAGCCUGAUGCAGCGACGCCGCGUGGGGGAUGACGGCCUUCGGGUUGGAAACUCCUUUCACCAUCGACGCGGUAGAUGGAGAAGAAGCACCGGCUAACUACGUGCCAGCAGCCGCGGUAAUUC